rnacentral:lncRNA from 1 species
UUAGCAUCCUGCAUCCCAUUCCCACAUCCCAUUCCUGCAUCCCAAUCCUUCAUUGUGUUCACCAUCCCACAUCCCAUUCCCUCAUCCUAUUCCUGCAUCCCGUUCCCACAUCCCAUUCCUGCAUCCCAAUCCUGCAUCCCAACCCUGCAUCACGUUCAGCAUCCCGCAUCCCCUUCCUCCAUCCCAGUCCCUCAUCCCCUUCCUCCAUCCCAGUCCCGCAUCCCGUUCCUGCAUCCCAAUCCCACAUCCCGUUCAGCAUCCCGCAUGCC